GCUGGCGGCGUGCCUAACACAUGCAAGUCGAGCGGUAACAGGUGUAGCAAUACAUGCUGACGAGCGGCGAACGGGUGAGUAAUGCUUCGGAAUCUGCCCAAUGGUGGGGAAUAACCAGCCGAAAGGUUGGCUAAUACCGCAUAAGUCCUACGGGAGAAAGCAGGGGAUCGCAAGACCUUGCGCCGAUGGAUGAGCCGAAGUCGGAUUAGCUAGUUGGUAGGGUAACGGCCUACCAAGGCGACGAUCCGUAGCUGGUCUGAGAGGACGACCAGCCACACUGGGACUGAGACACGGCCCAGACUCCUACGGGAGGCAGCAGUGGGGAAUAUUGGACAAUGGGGGCAACCCUGAUCCAGCGACGCCGCGUGUGUGAAGAAGGCCUGCGGGUUGUAAAGCACUUUUAGUGGGGAUGAAAAGCUCAGGGAUAACACCUCUGGGUCUUGACCUAACCCACAGAAAAAGCACCGGCUAACUCUGUGCCAGCAGCCGCGGUAAUACAGAGGGUGCAAGCGUUAAUCGGAAUUACUGGGCGUAAAGCGUGCGUAGACGGUCAUGUAAGUCGGGUGUGAAAGCCUCGGGCUCAACCUGGGAAUGCCAUUCGAGACUGCAUAGCUAGGGUGCGGAAGAGGGAAG
rnacentral:rRNA from 1 species